CCUACGGGAGGCAGCAGUGGGGAAUAUUGCACAAUCGGGGAAACCCUGAUGCAGCAACGCCGCGUGAGUGACGGAGUCUUUCGGUAUGUAAAGCUCUCUCAGUAGGGACGAAGAAAGACGGUACCUUACUACAAAGCCCCGGCUAACUACGUGCAAGCAGACGCGCUACUAAGUAGGGGGCAUGCGUUAUCCGGCUUUACUGGGUGGAAAGGGAGCGUAGACGGCUGUGUAAGUCUGAAGUGAAAGCCCGGGGGUCAACCGCGGAACUGCUUGGGAAACUGUAUGGCUUGAGUACUGGAGAGGCAGGCGGAAUUCCUAGUGUAGCGGUGAAAUGCGUAGAUAUUAGGAGGAACACCAGUGGCGAAGGCAGCCUGCUGGACAGAAACUGACGUUGAGGCGCGAAAGCGUGGGGAGCAAACAGGAUUAGAUACCCGGGUAGUC
rnacentral:rRNA from 1 species